UGACAGUGUGUGAGAGGGUGACAGAGACGGGGCAGAGAAGGGCAGGUGGUCAGGAGGCGGCUGCUUGCAAGUCCCUGGCAGAGUAUUUCCUUAAUCCAUCCCAACAGCGUGCCCUGCUGGGUCUGACCCAGGCCUCAGGCUGGGGAGCAACCUCUUAGCCCCUCUCCAUAUGGAGACACAGGAGGUGGGAGCAGGCUAUGCCCCAAGUUCCCGGCCCACCUCCCUGCCCUGCCCUCAGCCAGAGGAUGUCCCCUCCCAGAACAGAGGGCUGCCUGCUCCUUUCCUUUUCUCCUGCGUGUGCUCAGUACAGGGCCCAGCACUGCAGGUGCCUAAUUGGUCCCUACCCCUUAGCAGAGGCCAGGCCGACCUGAGGAGUUGUCUGUACAUUCAAUCAGCCUAGUCCCUACUCUGUAAAUCUCAUAUAGAGGAAAUGAGAACCCCCAUGGUUCAGAGGAGCCAGGCCCCAGAUAUGAAGGAAGCAAAGGGGUCCAAGCUAAGGCCAAGACAGCUCACCGGUCAUUCCACCGGAGGGAGCAGGGCUGCAGGCCCCACCAAAGUCUCGGAGUCCUGCCUCUGACACCCACUGCUUCACCUACUCCAAUUCGUUGCUGGCUUUUAGCUGCAUAAUAUUUCAUUGUAUGGAUAAACUACACAGUUCCCAGUGAUGAAGACCAAGAUUGUUCCCAAUCUGUUUGCUAUUAUAAACAGUGUUGCAACAAACAGGCUUUGUGUGUAUCAUUUCAUAUGAGUACAAGAGUUUCUGUAGACUUGACAAUAAAAAGAUAACCCAAUUGAAAAAACAGACAAAGGAUUUGAAUAGUCAUUGCUCCAAAGAAGAUAUGAUAAGUAUAUUAAAAAGUUGCUCACCAUCAUUACCCAUUAGGGAAAUGCAAAUCAAAACCACAGUGAGAUACUGCACAUUCACUAGGAUGGCUAUAAUCAAAAAGACACAUAAUAACAAGUGUCUUAGUUCAUUUCAGCUGCUAUAACAAAAUAUCGCAGACUGGUUGGCUC
rnacentral:lncRNA from 1 species